GACGAACGCUGGCGGGGUGCUUAACACAUGCAAGACGAACGAAGUGGCGAACGGGUGAGUAACGCGUAAUCAACCUGCCCUUCAGAGGGGGACAACCGGUGGAAACGACUGCUAAUACCGCAUACUGAAGGAGGGGAUUGCGUCUGAUUAGCUAGUUUGAGGGGUAACGGCCCACCAAGGCGAGGAUAAGUAGCCGGUCUGAGAGUAUUAACGGCAACAUUGCGGCGGAGACACGGCCCAAACCCCUGCGGGAGGCAGCCAUGGGGAGACUUGCGCAAUGGACGAAAGGCUGGCGGAUCGCCCCGGCCGGAGUGAUGGCGGCCUUCGGGUUGUAAAGCUCGGAUGAUGGGGGCGCGGUAACGCAGCAGGAAGCCACGGCUAACUACGUGCCAGCAGCCGCGGUAAUUC
rnacentral:rRNA from 1 species